UUUUUGGAAGUUUUUAGCCAAAAUCUUAUCAAAUUGCACAAGAUAUAGUUCGAAACACAACCACUAGCAAUUUGGGUGACUUAUUACCCUUAGAUUUGCAAGUACUAACUUCAACUACCAAUAUCUCCUUCACUCAAAUUUAAAAUCUAUCAAAUAUUAUACUAAAAGUGUAGCUAAGAAAAUACUCUCUCCAAUCCCAAUCACCAAUCCUCUGUUGCUUUCCGUAUUCAUGCCUUACAUCCAAAAGUGUGACAGUAGGUACAAAAUCAACACCCUAACUUUGAGCGCUCAUAUCUCUUUCAUAUAAACUCUAAAUGACUCAAAAUUUGCACCAAAACCAUAGCCAAAAUCCUAAACUUACUAACCUUAGUCU
rnacentral:lncRNA from 1 species